rnacentral:sRNA from 1 species
CGCACCGACCCGCCCAAUCGUGAACGACGAGCCGGGGACCCAGUGCUUCGUGGGGUGAAUCCGUGGGCCGCAGGCCUGUGGUAGGGCGUUCUUCCCGCCCGAAUCCGUCAGCUAACCCGGUCGGCGGCGUCGGAAGGAGUU